CGCCGUGCCCGUUGGAUGUUCAGUUUCUAUCUAUGAACAAGUAUGCGUCACUUUUUCUUUUUGUUUGACCAAACUCAAGUCCCCUUUCUAAAACUGCAGCCAAGCAGUACUUGCUACUGGAAUAAUCCCAUGAAUGAAUUCUUUGUUGUGGUCAACUCUUUCUUGUCUCUCUACUAGGAUUCAUGCACCAAGCCCAGAAUUAAAAUUUUAUGUCAGGCUGCUAGUAAAUCAGGCUCUACUCUGUCCAAUAGCAAGUUGGAUAGCACCUGUAGUUAAUUGCACGUACAUAUGGGUUUUGGUUCAUUUUGUACGUAUGUUUGUUUGUUCAUGCUUACGACUUUGGCUAAAACACGUUGGAUGCCCAAUUCCUAUGGUGAACCUUUUGGUUCAAGCAAGCAAACUCAUGUUCCCUUUCUAUGACUGAAGCCAAGUUGUACCUACUACUGGCAUAAUACGAUGGAUUCAUUCUUUGUUUGUGGUCAACUCUUGUCUGUCUACUAGCAUUCGUGCGAGAACCUGAAUGUUGUGUAGGCUGCUAUGUUGUACUACCAGUAAACUAGUUUGUACUCUCUCCAACUGCAGGUUGGAUAGCCUUGCAAUUAAUUGUACAGACAUGCAUAUGAUUUUUGGUUCAAUUUGUAUGUAUAUAUAUGCUUAAGACUUUGACUAAAACUAGUUGGAUGUUCAGUUCCCCAUGAAGGUGACCAAUCCCUAGCAGUGCCCAUUGGUCCUUCCUGAUAUUUCACCUCAUGUGAUUUUAAUCUUUGUUUCUUGCUUUCCACAGCGACCAAGUUCUCUUAACAGCGGGACAUCUGAGUUCGUCAUGGUGAUGGAAGCUGACACGGAGCCGCUCGAAAUCUCCUCGACCUCCCAUCAUGUUUCUUGCGGACGGCAAGGUAGAAAUUCUGUCCAUAUACAUCAUACUAAUGCUAAUUAAUUUAUAUGUUGUAGCUUGCGCGAUAUGGUCAUAACAGUAACUGUUAAGCUCAUAAUUCUGUAUGUUGUCUUCAAGUUUUCUCUAAUAUAGAUUUCUCAAAUCUCUCUCUGAACUUCUCUAAUAAAAAAUGGUGUUAACUGUUAAAGCUCUUCGUGGUGACAUGUUUCUGUUACCAAUACAAUAAUAUAUUUGCACUCAAGGACUGUUUGAGUGAUAGGCUGUUCAUACUAUUAGAGAAGUGAACUGAUUAAGAUAUUGCUUUCCCCAACAACAAAAAAUAAACACGGCAGUUGAACAAUGUGUAUCCCUUCACUUGGAAGCCUAUGAAACUUUCUGUAGCAGCAGUGCAACACACUUUAUAUAUAUGUAUGAGGCUGGGUAGUUCAAAUCUACUUUACUUCCUAACUCAUUCAUAUAUAUCAUGGAAAUUGUGCAGGUUCCAUGGUCCCAAGUGGCCUUUGGCCAUCUUGAACUGGGACUCCAGUAACAAGUAGAUGUUGCUGCCACACUCAAUAUUUUAAGUUGUUUUCUUUUUUCUUUUUGGAGAGAUGUUAAUAACCUGAGAACACUUGCCUCCUCUGUUGGAAAUAUGCCCUAGAGGCAAUAAUAAAUUGAUUAUUAUUAUAUUUCCUUGUUCAUGAUAAUCGUUUAUUAUCCAUGCUAGAAUUGUAUUGAUAGGAAACUCAGAUACAUGUGUGGAUACAUAGACAACACCAUGUCCCUAGUAAGCCUCUAGUUGACUAGCUCGUUAAUCAAUAGAUGGUUACGGUUUCCUGACCAUGGACAUUGGAUGUCGUUGAUAACGGGAUCACAUCAUUAGGAGAAUGAUGUGAUGGACAAGACCCAAUCCUAAGCCUAGCACAAGAUCAUGUAGUUCGUAUGCUAAAGCUUUUCUAAUGUCAAGUAUCAUUUCCUUAGACCAUGAGAUUGUGCAACUCCCGGAUACCGUAGGAGUGCUUUGGGUGUGCCAAACGUCACAACGUAACUGGGUGGCUAUAAAGGUACACUACGGGUAUCUCUGAAAGUGUCUGUUGGGUUGGCACGAAUCGAGAUUGGGAUUUAUCACUCCGUGUAAACGGAGAGGUAUCUCUGGGCCCACUCGGUAGGACAUCAUCAUAAUGUGCACAAUGUGACCAAGGGGUUGAUCACGGGAUGAUGUGUUACGGAACGAGUAAAGAGACUUGCCGAUAACGAGAUUGAACAAGGUAUCGGUAUACCGACGAUCGAAUCUCGGGCAAGUACCAUACCGCUAGACAAAGGGAAUUGUAUACGGGAUCGAUUGAGUCCUUGACAUCGUGGUUCAUCCGAUGAGAUCAUCGUGGAACAUGUGGGAGCCAACAUGGGUAUCCAGAUCCCGCUGUUGGUUAUUGAUCGGAGAACAUCUCGGUCAUGUCUGCAUGUCUCCCGAACCCGUAGGGUCUACACACUUAAGGUUCGAUGAUGCUAGGGUUAUAAAGGAAGCUUGUAUGUGGUUACCGAAUGUUGUUCGGAGUCCCGGAUGAGAUCCCGGACGUCACGAGGAGUUCCGGAAUGGUCCGGAGGUAAAGAUUUAUAUAUAGGAAGUCCUGUUUCGGCCAUCGGGACAAGUUUCGGGGUCAUCGGUAUUGUACCGGGACCACCGGAAGGGUCCCGGGGGCCCACCGGGUGGGGCCACCUGCCCCGGGGGGCCACAUGGGCUGUAGGGGGUGCGCCUUGGCCUACAUGGGCCAAGGGCACCAGCCCCAAGAGGCCCAUGCGCCUAGGGAACCCUAGAGGGAAGAGUCCUCAAAGGGGAAGGCACCUCCGAGGUGCCUUGGGGAGGAUGGACUCCUCCCCCCCUCUUAGCCGCACCCCUUCCUUGGAGGAAGGGGCAAGGCUGCGCCUCCCCCCUCUCCCCUGCCCCUAUAUAUAGUGGAGGGGAGGGAGGGCAUCCAUACCUGAGCCCUUGGCGCCUCCCUCCCUCCCGUGACACCUCCUCCUCUCCCGUAGGUGCUUGGCGAAGCCCUGCAGGAUUGCCACACUCCUCCAUCACCACCACGCCGUUGUGCUGCUGCUGGAUGGAGUCUUCCUCAACCUCUCCCUCUCUCCUUGCUGGAUCAAGGCGUGGGAGACAUCGUCGAGCUGUAUGUGUGUUGAACGCGGAGGUGCCGUCCGUUCGGCACUAGGAUCAUCGGUGAUCUGAAUCACGACGAGUACGACUCCAUCAACCCCGUUCACUUGAACGCUUCCGCUUAGCGAUCUACAAGGGUAUGUAGAUGCACUCUCCUUCCCCUCGUUGCUGGUCUCUCCAUAGAUAGAUCUUGGUGACACGUAGGAAAAUUUUGAAUUUCUGCUACGUUCCCCAACAGUGGCAUCAUGAGCUAGGUCUAUUGCGUAGAUUCUUUGCACGAGUAGAACACAAAGUAGUUGUGGGCGUCGAUAUUGUUCAAUAUGCUUGCCGUUACUAGUCUUAUCUUGAUUCGGCGGCAUCGUGGGAUGAAGCGGCCCGGACCAACCUUACACGUACGCUUACGUGAGACCGGUUCCACCGACAAACAUGCACUAGUUGCAUAAGGUGGCUGGCGGGUGUCUGUCUCUCCCACUUUAGUCGGAUCGGAUUCGAUGAAAAGGGUCCUUAUGAAGGGUAAAUAGAAAUUGGCAUAUCACGUUGUGGUUCAUGCGUAGGUAAGAAACGUUCUUGCUAGAAACCCAUAGCAGCCACGUAAAACAUGCAAACAACAAUUAGAGGACGUCUAACUUGUUUUUGCAGGGUAUGCUAUGUGAUGUGAUAUGGCCAAAGAGGAUGUGAUGAAUGAUAUAUGUGAUGUAUGAGAUUGAUCAUGUUCUUGUAAUAGGAAUCACGACUUGCAUGUCGAUGAGUAUGACAACCGGCAGGAGCCAUAGGAGUUGUCUUUAUUUAUUUGUGACCUGCGUGUCAACUUAAACGUCAUGUAAUUACUUUACUUUAUUGCUAACCGUUAGCCAUAGUAGUAGAAGUAAUAGUUGGCGAGGCAACUUCAUGAAGACAUGAUGAUGGAGAUCAUGAUGAUGGAGAUCAUGGUGUCAUGCCGGUGACGAUGAUGAUCAUGGAGCCCCGAAGAUGGAGAUCAAAAGGAGCAAAGUGAUGAUGGCCAUAUCAUGUCACUAUUUGAUUGCAUGUGAUGUUUAUCAUGUUUAUACAUCUUAUUUGCUUAGAACGACGGUAGUAAAUAAGAUGAUCCCUUACAACAAUUUCAAGAAGUGUUCUCCCCUAACUGUGCACCGUUGCGACAGUUCGUGUUUCGAAGCACCACGUGAUGAUCGGGUGUUAGAUUCUAACGUUCACAUACAACGGGUGUAAGACAGAUUUACACAUGCGAAACACUUAGGGUUAACUUGACGAGCCUAGCAUGUACAGACAUGGCCUCGGAACACGGAUACCGAAAGGUCGAACAUGAGUCGUAUAGAAGAUACGAUCAACAUGAAGAUGUUCACCGAUGAUGACUAGUCCGUCUCACGUGAUGAUCGGACACGGCCUAGUUUGACUCGGAUCAUGUAAUCACUUAGAUGACUAGAGGGAUGUCUAUCUGAGUGGGAGUUCAUAAGAUGAACUUAAUUAUCCUGAACAUAGUCAAAAGGUUUUUGCAAAUUAUGUCGUAGCUCACGCUAUAGUUCUACUGUUUAGAUAUGUUCCUAGAGAAAAAUUAGUUGAAAGUUGAUAGUAGCAAUUAUGCGGACUAGGUCCGUAAACUGAGGAUUGUCCUCAUUGCUUCAUAGAAGGCUUAUGUCCUUAAUGCACCGCUCAGUGUGCUGAACCCGAAACGUCGUUUGUGGAUGUUGCGAACAUCGGACAUACACGUUUUGAUAACUACGUGAUAGUUCAGUUAAACGGUUUAGAGUUGAGGCACUAAAGACGUUUUCGAAACAUCACGGAACAUAUGAGAUGUUUCGAGGGCUAAAAUUGGGAUUUCAGGCUCGUGCUCACGUCAAGAGGUAUAAGACCUCCGAUGAUUUUCUUAACCUGCAAACUAAGGAGAAAAGCUCAAUUGUUGAGCUUGUGCUCAGAUUGUCUGAGUACAACAAUCAUUUGAAUCGAGUGGGAGUUGAUCUUCCAGAUAAGACAGUGAUGGUUCUCCAAAGUCAUUGCCACCAAGCUGUUAGAGCUUCGUGAUGAACUAUGACAUAUCAGGGAUAGAUAUGAUGAUCCUUGAGGUAUUCGCGAUGUUUGACACCGCGAAAGUAGAAAUCAAGAAGGAGCAUCAAUUGUUGAUGGUUGGUGAAACCACUAGUUUCAAGAAGGGCAAGGGCAAGAAGGGAUACUUCAUGAAACGGCAAAUCAGCUGCUGCUCUAGUGAAGAAACCCAAGGUAAAACCCAAACCCGAGACUAAGUGCUUCUGUAAUAAGGGGAACAAUCACUAGAGCAGAAUUACCCUAGAUACUUGGUAGAUAAGAAGGCUGGCAAGGUCGAUAGAAGUAUAUUGGAUAUACAUUAUGUUAAUGUGUACUUUACUAGUACUCCUAGUAGCACCAGGGUAUUAGAUACAGGUUCAGUUGCUAAGUGUUAGUAACUCGAAACAAAAGGCUACGGAAUAAACGGAGACUAGCUAAAGGUGAGCUGACGAUAUGUGUUGGAAGUUUUUUCCAAGCUUGAUAUGAUCAAGCAUCGCACGCUCCCUCUACCAAAGAGAUUGGUGUUAAACCUAAAUAAUUGUUAUUUGGUGUUUGCGUUGAGCAUAGACAUGAUUGGAUUACGUCUAUCGCAAUACGGUUAUUCAUUUAAGGAGAAUAAUGGUUACUCUGUUUAUUUGAAUAAUACCUUCAAUGGUCUUACACCUAAAAUGAAUGGUUUAUUAAAUCUCGAUCGUAGUAAUACACAUGUUCAUGCCAAAAGAUAGUAAUGAUAGUACCACCUACUUGUGGCACUGCCACGUAAGUCAUAUCGGUAUAAAACGCAUGAAGAAGCUCCAUAUUGAUGGAUCUUUGGGCUCACUCGUUUUGAAAAGUUUGAGACAUGCGAACCAUGUCUAUUGGUGUAUAUGCAUGAAGAAACUCCAUGCAAAUGGACCGUUUUGACUCACUUGAUUUUGAAUCACUUGGGACAUGCAAAUCAUACCACAUGGGCAAGAUGACUGAAAAGCCUCGUUUUCAGUAAGAUGGAACAAGAUAGCAACUUGUUGGAAGUAACACAUUUUGAUGUGUGUAGUCCAAUGAGUGCUGAGGCAUGCAGUGAAUAUUGUUAUGUUCUUACUUCACAGAUAAUUUGAGUGGAUGUUGAGUACAUUUACUUGAUGAAUCAUGAGUCUGAAUUAUUGAAAGGUUCAAGUAAUUUCAGGGUGAAGUUGAAAGAUCGUCGUGACAAGAGGAUAAAAUAUCUAUGAUAUGAUCAUAGAGAUGAAUAUCUGAAUUACGAGUUUGGCACAGAAUUAAGACAUUGUAGAAAUAGUUUCACAACUAAUACAGCCUGGAACACCAUAGUGUGAUGGUGUGUCCGAACAUCAUAACUGCACCCUAUUGGAUAUGAUGCAUACCAUGAUGUCUCUUAUCGAAUUACCACGAUAGUUUAUGGGUUAGGCAUUAGAGACAACCACAUUCACUUUAAAUAGGGCACCACGUAAUUCCGUUGAGAUGACAUCGUAUGAAUUAUGGUUUAGAGAAACCUAAGUUGUCGUUUCUUAAAGGUUUGGGGCUGCGACGCUUAUGUGAAAAAGUUUCAGGUUGAUAAGCUCGAACCCAAAGCAGAUAAAAUGCAUCUUCAUAGGACACCCAAAAACAGUUGGGUAUACCUCCUAAUUCAGAUCCGAAAGCAAUAGGGAUUGUUUCUUGAAUCGGGUCCUUUUUCGAGGAAAGGUUUCUCUCAAAAGAGUUGAGUAGGAGGAUGGUGGAGACUUGAUGAGGUUAUUGAACCAUCACUUCAACAAGUGUGUAGCAGGGCACAGGAAGUUGUUCCUGUGGCACGUACACCAACUGAAGUGGAAGCUUAUGAUAGUGAUCAUGAAACUUCGGAUCAAGUCACUACCAAACCUCGUGGGAUGACAAGGAUGCGUACUACUUCAGAGUGGUACGUAAUCCUGUCUUGGAAGUCAUGUUGCUAGACAACAAUGAACCUACGAGCUAUGGAGAAGCGAUAGUGGGCCCGGAUUCCGAUAAAUGGCUCAAGGCCAUAAAACCCGAGAGAGGAUCCAUGUAUGAAAACAAAGUGUAGACUUUGGAAGAACUACUUGAUGGUCGUAAGGCUGUUAGGUACAUAUGGAUUUUGAAAGGAAGACAGACAAUGAUGGUAAGUGUCACCAUUAAGAAAGCUCGACUUGUCGUUAAGAUAUUUUCCGACAAGUUCAAGGAGUUGAUUACGGUGAGGUUUUCUCACUCGUAGCGAUGCUAAGAGUCUGUUGGAAUUGGAUUAGCAGUUACUGCAUGAUUGAUGAAAUCUUGCAGAUAGGAUGUCAAAACAUUGUUUCCUCGAUGUUAUACUUGAGGAAAGGUUGUAUGUGAUACAACCGGAAGGUUUUGUCAAUCCCAAAAGAUGCUAAUAAGUAUGCAAAGCUCCAGCAAUCCUUCUAAGGACUGGAGUGAGCAUCUCGGAGUUGGAAUGUAUGCUUUGAUGAUGAUCAAAGAUUUUGGGUUUGUACAAAGUUUAUGAGAAACUUGUAUUUCCAAAGAAGUGAGUGGGAGCACUAUAGAAUUUCUGAUGAGUAUAUGUUGUUGACAUAUUAAUGAUCAGAAAUGACGUAGAAUUUCUGGAAAGCAUACAGGGUUAUUUGGAAAGUGUUUUCAAUGGAAAACCUGGAUUAAGCUACUUGAACAUUGAGCAUCAAGAUCUAUAAGGAUAGAUCAAAACACUUAAUAGUACUUUCAAAUGAGCACAUGCCUUGACAUGAUCUUGAAGGUGUUCAAGAUGGAUCAGUCAAAGAAGGAGUUCUUGCCUGAGUUGUAAGGUAUGAAGUUAAGACUUAAAGCUCGACCAUGGCAGAAUAGAGAGAAAGGAACGAAGGUCGUCCCCUAUGCUUAAGACAUAGGCUCUACAGUAUGCUAUGCUAUGUACCGCACCUGAAGUGUGCUUUACCAUGAGUCAGUCAAGGGGUACAAGAGUGAUCCAAGAAUGGAUCACAGGACAUCGGUCAAAGUUAUCCUUAGUAACUAGUGGACUAAGGAAUUUUCUCAAUUAUGGAGGUGGUAAAAGAGUUCAUCGUAAAGGGUUACGUCGAUGCAAGCUUAAUACCUAUCCGGAUAGCUCUGAGUAGAGAUACCGGAUACGUAUAAUGGAGCAACAAUUUAGAAUAGCUCCAAGUAGAACAGUUAUUUGGAAUAGCUCCAAAUAGAACGUGGUAGCUGCAUCUAGGAGAUGACAUAGAGAUUUGUAAAGCACACACGGAUCUGAAAGGUUCAGACCCGUUGACUAUAACCUCUCUCACAAGCAUAACAUGAUCAAACCCAGAACUCAUCGAGUGUUAAUCACAUGGUAAAUGUGAACUAGAUUAUUGACUCUAGUAAACUCUUUGGGUGUUAGUCACAUGGGGAUGUGACCUUGAGUGUUAAUCACAUAUCGAUGUGAACUAGAUUAUUGACUCUAGUGCAAGUGGGAGACUGUUGGAAAUAUGCCCUAGAGGCAAUAAUAAAUUGAUUAUUAUUAUAUUUCCUUGUUCAUGAUAAUCGUUUAUUAUCCAUGCUAGAAUUGUAUUGAUAGGAAACUCAGAUACAUGUGUGGAUACAUAGACAACACCAUGUCCCUAGUAAGCCUCUAGUUGACUAGCUCGUUAAUAAAUAGAUGGUUACGGUUUCCUGACCAUGGACAUUGGAUGUCGUUGAUAACGGGAUCACAUCAUUAGGAGAAUGAUGUGAUGGACAAGACCCAAUCCUAAGCCUAGCACAAGAUCAUGUAGUUCGUAUGCUAAAGCUUUUCUAAUGUCAAGUAUCAUUUCCUUAGACCAUGAGAUUGUGCAACUCCCGGAUACCGUAGGAGUGCUUUGGGUGUGCCAAACGUCAAAACGUAACUGGGUGGCUAUAAAGGUACACUACGGGUAUCUCUGAAAGUGUCUGUUGGGUUGGCACGAAUCGAGAUUGGGAUUUGUCACUCCGUGUAAACGGAGAGGUAUCUCUGGGCCCACUCGGUAGGACAUCAUCAUAAUGUGCACAAUGUGACCAAGGGGUUGAUCACGGGAUGAUGUGUUACGGAACGAGUAAAGAGACUUGCCGGUAACGAGAUUGAACAAGGUAUCGGUAUACCGACGAUCGAAUCUCGGGCAAGUACCAUACCGCUAGACAAAGGGAAUUGUAUACAGGAUCGAUUGAGUCCUUGACAUCGUGGUUCAUCCGAUGAGAUCAUCGUGGAACAUGUGGGAGCCAACAUGGGUAUCCAGAUCCCACUGUUGGUUAUUGACCGGAGAACAUCUCGGUCAUGUCUGCAUGUCUCCCGAACCCGUAGGGUCUACACACUUAAGGUUCGAUGACGCUAGGGUUAUAAAGGAAGCUUGUAUGUGGUUACCGAAUGUUGUUCGGAGUCCCGGAUGAGAUCCCGGACGUCACGAGGAGUUCCAGAAUGGUCCGGAGGUAAAGAUUUAUAUAUAGGAAGUCCUGUUUCGGCCAUCGGGACAAGUUUCGGGGUCAUCGGUAUUGUACCGGGACCACCGGAAGGGUCCCGGGGGCCCACCGGGUGGGGCCACCUGCCCCGGGGGGGCCACAUGGGCUGUAGGGGGUGCGCCUUGGCCUACAUGGGCCAAGGGCACCAGCCCCAAGAGGCCCAUGCGCCUAGGGAACCCUAGAGGGAAGAGUCCUCAAAGGGGAAGGCACCUCCGAGGUGCCUUGGGGAGGAUGGACUCCUCCCCCCCUCUUAGCCGCACCCCUUCCUUGGAGGAAGGGGCAAGGCUGCGCCUCCCCCCUCUCCCCUGCCCCUAUAUAUAGUGGAGGGGAGGGAGGGCAUCCAUACCUGAGCCCUUGGCGCCUCCCUCCCUCCCGUGACACCUCCUCCUCUCCCGUAGGUGCUUGGCGAAGCCCUGCAGGAUUGCCACACUCCUCCAUCACCACCACGCCGUUGUGCUGCUGCUGGAUGGAGUCUUCCUCAACCUCUCCCUCUCUCCUUGCUGGAUCAAGGCGUGGGAGACAUCGUCGAGCUGUACGUGUGUUGAACGCGGAGGUGUCGUCCGUUCGGCACUAGGAUCAUCAGUGAUCUGAAUCACGACGAGUACGACUCCAUCAACCCCGUUCACUUGAACGCUUCCACUUAGCGAUCUACAAGGGUAUGUAGAUGCACUCUCCUUCCCCUCGUUGCUGGUCUCUCCAUAGAUAGAUCUUGGUGACACGUAGGAAAAUUUUGAAUUUCUGCUACGUUCCCCAACAUCCUCCCCAACCCUCGCCCCAGCCUGCCGGUGCUGGCUUGCUGCGUGGCUGUCGCCGCAACAGAUAAUUAGAUUUUUGGGACUCUGUUUCUAUGCUCUGCUCGAUAGCAUUUUGCAUAUUGAUUGGACAUGCUUUAUAUAAAACGAUUUAUCUUGUACAUUGCUCUGCCUAACUUGUAGGAGUAUACAUGAAACCAUACUUGUCAAAUAUCGAUACUUGUCAAAUAUCAAGUAUCACAGCUGAAUAAUAACGUCUUGUUUUCUGUUCACUGAAUCAAAAUUCUUCUCUCUUUUUAUGAUCAGUCCAUCUUACAGCCAUCAAUAAGAAAAACACUUAUCUUCAUAUUAGGAUUAUUAUUUUCUUGUCUGCAGUAUUAUAAUGUACAUAUGCUUUUCUGUUCACUGAAUCACAAUUCUUCACUCUUUUUACCAUCAAUCCAUCUUCUUACAGUUGCAUGUUUUUUUUGGCUGUCCAGAUGACCAAGCCCAAGGAGGAAGCAGUUGCUCAUCACUGAGGACAAGUAACUCCAGCAGGUUGACGCCGUAGAUUCAUAGUGUACCUUCUAUAUGCCCAUCCAGUUCUGUGAUUUGUGUCUUGAAACCCAAAAACCCCAUGCCCAUGUGGGAGCUGAACCAUAGUUUUUUGCUUGUGGAAAAUAAUAUCCUUGGCUGAAUCGACUUGAGGUGGUUUCUUCAAAAUUCUUGAAAAUGAUUUGGUAGUUUAUUUUGGCGAGGAAUUGUUUCAUACUGAAGUUUACUGGUACAUGUGUGGUUUGCUACUAUUGCUUCGUUUGGGUUGGGUUGGUUCCAGCGGGGAGAUGUGCAUGCACACUGGCAGCAUGAGCUAGCAGCCAUGAUUGCCAGCCAGUCACCACCAUGUAAAUGUAAUAAAUGUGUGGCCUAUCUAGUGUGCUGCUGAUAGAAAUAUAGAUGUGGCCUAUCUAGUGGGUUGCUGAUAAUAUGUUUUUACCUCACUUGGCAGGCACCAUAAUCUGUUUUUUCCUCACUGUACUGUAGGAAUAAAUGUGUGGCCUAUCUAGUGUGCUGCUGAUAGAAAUAUAGAUGGAAGAUUUGUUGACCAGUUAAAUUGAGCUUAUUGUCAAUUCUGCUUAUAAGCUAUGUUUGAUGCUGCCUACAGGUUCUUAUUCUUUUUUUUGCAUAGGUGAAGUAUGAAGUGUGAAGCCGUGAAGCCUAUCAGCAAGAGUAGCAUAUUAUGUAUUGUAAUAUCACGCAAAGUGUAAUAUUGGUCAGAGUAGCAUAUUAUGUAUUGUAAUAUUUAGUGUUGUUUUGGAUGAAUUUUAUUUGCUCUAUAAUCUGUUUGAAAUAUUGAUUGUGUAUAUAAUUUCAAUACCUAUGAAAUGGAAACCUGACCAGGGGGACCCACUUAUGAAAAUUGGUUGACAAAUUUUGAAAUUUCUGAUGUGUGGGUCCAAUUGUGAUAUCAGCAUGACAAGUGGGACCAAUAUGACCAGUGGGACCAGCGCAAAAAUAAU
rnacentral:lncRNA from 1 species